rnacentral:lncRNA from 1 species
AUAUAAUACAGGGAGUCUUGAGGCCUAAUAAGAACUGUGGAUCUUUCCACAGCAAGGAUUAUCUGUAUGGUGAUACGUCUGGAAAAAGAUAUUGCCUGGGUGCAAAGAACCAAACUCAUAACCUAUGACCUACUUCACACUUCCCAAUGUCAAAAUGUGACACAAGAGGCACAAUCAACAGAACAAACAGGUAUUAAGUAAACAUGCUUGUAAGAUGGGCCUUGCCAUUCAAAUUGGUUUCCAGAGUCAAACUGAGAUGGAUUUGGAACUUCAGGAUGCUACCCCAGUUUUUUCCAUCUGACAAGACGCUAUUUGCCCUUUGCACAGCAGAAUACAAUCCAGAAGAAAGUAACUUUGAAGAUACUUUACACAAAAAGAUUGUUUGUCUAAUCAACUCAUGUGAAAGUGAUUUAUAAAUGCUCCUUGUUAGAAGCAAGUCUACUAGGAUACAAGAAGCUCAAAAGAAAGAUACUUCAGCUGAAUUUGAUUCUGUAACUUUUCUUUCAGUUAUUAUAUAAGGCAGGAUUACAAAACUGUCAUGAUACAGACAGCUUAACAAUAGGUCAAGAAUAUUGUCUGUCACCUGUUUCUUCUUAUGCCUAAGUCUAAAAAAAAAACCUGUCAUUUUCAUCUUUUCUGUAACUGAAAACAGAGUGAAAGAGGAAUGAGUAUCUUGCCAUUGAAUUUCAUAUGCAAUUUACAAUUUAAAAUUGAUAGUUAUAAUUAUUACUGUUUGUUACCCAAUACUUAGCUUUGUAUGAGAAAAACCUAGCAUGUGAUUGAAAGCACUUGAAAUCUGUCUGGUUUUCAUAACUAUAGGCAUCCUAACUAGACAUAUUCAUACAGCUGAUUAUGAUAGUUUUCUUAUUUAAAAGAAUAACUGACCUGAUACAGCAGAAAAAGUCUAACAAUCCUCAGAAAUAUCUUCAAGCAGAACCAGAAAGCUAGACCCUCUGUUCUUCUGAGUGAGGCAACAAGAAAACCAGGCCAUGAGCCUUUGCAUUAAGCAGCUUUUUAUUUAAAGCUUUUCUGUAUGAAUUCUUCAGGUCUGUAAACUCAGUAUAUAUGCAGACGUAUACUCUAAGAUACAGAUACAAACAGAGAGAGCUGUGUUAUCAGCAGUUCCUUACAUCUUUCUCCUGUUGUAUUGCUGCUUCUUCCAAACUGACAUGUCUGUUUCUAGCUCUCCCAAAGUCUCAGCUGUGCAGUCAGAGAUAUUUCUUCAUAUACACUGUCUGAUAUCACUGUGGGUCCGAGAAAGGGAGAGAAAUGUGUGGGGUUUGUGGGCUGUUGGAGACUUCCAAAAUCAAAAAUAAAGGUUAAUUUUUGAUCCCUGGGUUCA